rnacentral:rRNA from 1 species
GCUUAACACAUGCAAGUCGAGGGGCAUCAGUUUGGUUUGCUUGCAAACCAAAGCUGGCGACCGGCGCACGGGUGAGUAACACGUAUCCAACCUGCCUCAUACUCGGGGAUAGCCUUUCGAAAGAAAGAUUAAUAUCCGAUAGCAUAUAUUUCCCGCAUGGGUUUUAUAUUAAAGAAAUUCGGUAUGAGAUGGGGAUGCGUUCCAUUAGUUUGUUGGCGGGGUAACGGCCCACCAAGACUACGAUGGAUAGGGGUUCUGAGAGGAAGGUCCCCCACAUUGGAACUGAGACACGGUCCAAACUCCUACGGGAGGCAGCAGUGAGGAAUAUUGGUCAAUGGACGCGAGUCUGAACCAGCCAAGUAGCGUGAAGGAUGACUGCCCUAUGGGUUGUAAACUUCUUUUAUAUGGGAAUAAAGUGGUCCACGUGUGGAUUUUUGUAUGUACCAUAUGAAUAAGGAUCGGCUAACUCCGUGCCAGCAGCCGCGGUAAUACGGAGGAUCCGAGCGUUAUCCGGAUUUAUUGGGUUUAAAGGGAGCGUAGGCGGAUUGUUAAGUCAGUUGUGAAAGUUUGCGGCUCAACCGUAAAAUUGCAGUUGAUACUGGCAGUCUUGAGUGCAGUAGAGGUGGGCGGAAUUCGUGGUGUAGCGGUGAAAUGCUUAGAUAUCACGAAGAACUCC